UACGUAGGGUGCAAGCGUUGUCCGGAAUUAUUGGGCGUAAAGAGCUCGUAGGCGGUCUGUCGCGUCGGCUGUGAAAACCUGGGGCUUAACUCCGGGCCUGCAGCCGAUACGGGCAGACUAGAGUUCGGCAGGGGAGACUGGAAUUCCUGGUGUAGCGGUGAAAUGCGCAGAUAUCAGGAGGAACACCGGUGGCGAAGGCGGGUCUCUGGGCCGAAACUGACGCUGAGGAGCGAAAGUGUGGGGAGCGAACAGG
rnacentral:rRNA from 1 species